GAUUGAACGCUGGCGGCAGGCCUAACACAUGCAAGUCGAGCGGAUGAAGGGAGCUUGCUCCUGGAUUCAGCGGCGGACGGGUGAGUAAUGCCUAGGAAUCUGCCUGGUAGUGGGGGAUAACGUCCGGAAACGGGCGCUAAUACCGCAUACGUCCUGAGGGAGAAAGUGGGGGAUCUUCGGACCCCACGCUAUCAGAUGAGCCUAGGUCGGAUUAGCUAGUUGGUGGGGUAAAGGCCUACCAAGGCGACGAUCCGUAACUGGUCUGAGAGGAUGAUCAGUCACACUGGAACUGAGACACGGUCCAGACUCCUACGGGAGGCAGCAGUGGGGAAUAUUGGACAAAGGGCGAAAGCCUGAUCCAGCCAUGCCGCGUGUGUGAAGAAGGUCUUCGGAUUGUAAAGCACUUUAAGUUGGGAGGAAGGGCAGUAAGUUAAUACCUUGCUGUUUUGACGUUACCAACAGAAUAAGCACCGGCUAACUUCGUG
rnacentral:rRNA from 1 species